rnacentral:misc_RNA from 1 species
AUACUGCUUGUAAACAACGAACAUGGCGGGACGUUUCGUUGUUGUGUCCGUAGCAAUACUAUUAUUGCCGCAAUGUAUGACUUCUCCUUCAGACUGCCGGAGAGCUAGCCCGGAUGUGAUGGUAUUCGAAGUUUUACCGGGAGGAGGGUGGGACAACUUGAAAAACGAAGACCGCGCUAGAAUCGUCUUUUACAAUUAUUCGGACUGUGGAAUGACUGAGGAUGGCCGAUAUUUUAUCCCAGACAAUGUUUUCGUUGUUCCCGAAAAAGCCAGUCAAGUCAAAAUUUACUCUGAGCGAAUUGACCAUUGGAUGAAUUUUACUUCAGCCACAUCAAAAACAAUCAACGUUGGAGGUCAAGCAAAGGUGGCUGGAUUGUUUUCAAUCGGAGGGAAGUUUUCAUCGGAAUACGACGAGGUAAAGAGUAACCAGGUUAACGACAACUCGUUUACUCAGAGAACCGGGGCUCGAUAUGUUCGCUACACAUCUAAAAUCCAACCAAACCCUGUUCUUGAUCAUGGAUUCCGCUCCAAGAUCCUGUCUAUCGCCAAUCACCAUUUGAACGGAAGGAAGAGGUACGCAAGGAGCAGGAAUUGGCCAUACGUCAACUGUCACUGACCAAAUGACCCAGCAGUAUGCCACCAGUCAGACCCAUUCCACGAUCUUCACGUACGGUGGACAGCCCUACAAGCCUGUUAACUUCAGUAUCAACGACUGGGUGGAUACGAUAGGGAACGACUUGGUGGCGACCGACAGGUCGGGGGAUCCGCUGCACUUCUUAAUUACAAAAGAACAGUUCCCAGAAAUGCCGAACUCGAUUCGAGCUCAAACACAUGAUUCUAUUGAGGCUGCUAUAUCGGCUUACUACAGAUUUAAUACGUAUAAGGGCUGCACAGACAUUAAUUCGCCCAACUUUAACUUCAAUGCUAAUAUUGACGAUGGAACUUGUCAACCACCAGGCAAAAACAUGAGUAUUGGCGGUUUAUUCCAAAACUGUGUGUUCACUGGUGACACCGAUAACUUAUGCGAUGAUCUAACCUUAAAAAACAAGAAAACUGGGGAUUUUAACUGUGGCGAAGGUUACAAAUCGACAUUACUUUACCAGGGUAAUGUAACCAAGACCGAAAUUCGACAAGAAUGUGAGAGUUACAUGGUUUUCUGGAAAAAGUGCCAUGAUGUCGUUUAUAGGGGCGAAGCGUCGUAUUCAACGUAUUGGUGCUCUGCACAUGCGGGCGAGGCCCCGCCAAAUUCGGGGUUUCUUUUUGGCGGAAUUUUUACCAAAACCGUCUCAAACCCUGUCACCAAGUCCCAGAGCUGUCCGCCCUAUUACCAGCCCACAAUGAUAACCUCGGAUAUGUUUGUUUGUCUGUCUGACGACUUUGAACUUGGGCAGAGAUACUCUAUUCCAUUCGCUGGUUUCUUCAGUUGCCAAGAGGGGAAUCCCCUUUCAAACCAGUAUUUCUCGCCGACAUUUACGUCCAAGUCGUGCCCCGGGGGAUACAGUCAACAUAUCGGAACUAUUGAGGAUGAGUGUGAGAUCAACUACUGCACCCUGGCCAAUUCUUUCUUCGGACAAACAGCAAUGCCCGUACGUUUCCCGCCAUUUGUUCACAAACCCAAUGAAUGGAACGCAACUGGAAAUUACAUAAUAAGUGACGAGGGUCAGAGUUGGAGCACGGUGUUUGAAGUGCCAGAUAAUUUCAGUGGAUUUAAUGUUGAAGACAAAGGCUGGAUUGUAAACUCCGGUGAUACGCUCAACGUUCAAAAUCUUCUGGACAAAAGAAACAAGAAACACGGGGAGUUGUAAAAAUAACAAAUCCUUCAACUUUUUUUUGAUUUUUUGAUAAUUAAUUGUUAAAUCAUUAUGCUUGAUGUGAGUUUUAUAUUUUAUAUAAAGAAUUGUUUUAUUGUUUGAAAAUGAUUUUGUUGCCUAAUUCCAUGAAAUAAAUAAACUUCAAGUUG